rnacentral:rRNA from 1 species
UAGAUGCGAGAGUAGAGCAUAUCAAUAAGCGGAGGAAAAGAAACUAACAAGGAUUCCCUUAGUAACGGCGAGUGAAGCGGGAAGAGCUCAAAUUUGAAAUCUUCAAGGUUCUACCUUGACGAAUUGUAGUUUAUAAGAAGUGUUUUCUGUUAGUAGAGUUGGCUAAAAGUUCUUUGGAAUAGGACAUCAUAGAGGGUGAGAUAUCCCGUAUUUGAUCAUUCUUUUCUAGCUGUGUGAUACACUUUCAACGAGUCGGAUUGUUUGGGAAUGCAGUCCAAAAUGGGUGGUAAAUUUCAUCUAAAGCUAAAUAUUGGCGAGAGACCGAUAGCGAACAAGUACCGUGAGGGAAAGAUGAAAAGAACUUUGAAAAGAGAGUUAAACAGUACGUGAAAUUGUCAAAAGGGAAGCGUUUGACACCAGUGUUGUUUUUCCGAAAAUCAAUUACGAAUGUUUUAUUUUUGAGAAGUUAUGACUUCAUCGGCUUGCUUCCUUUCUUUAUCGAAACUUUCUUAAUGCACUUUUCGGUUAACAAGUCAACAUCAAUUUCUUUUGUUGUAAAAGGGUAUGAGGAAGGUGGCUUUCUUUUCGGAGAAAGUGUUUAUAGCCUUGUGCCUCUGCAAUCGGAGAGAUUGAGGUCUGCAGCGUAGAUCCUUCGGGGUUAGAUACGUUUGUGCUAAGUUAUAGCUUUUCAUAGACAACUUGUUGACUAUGUUUAGUCUUGUAGCUUACUCGCUGAUGCUAUUUUACCUACGCUUAGGAUGUUGACACACGCGCGUGCUCG